GCUGUUGUGUCUUAUGGCUUUUUAUUCCUACGUGAUGGUAGAUGGGUUCAUGUAGGAGUAGAAGCCACUAAACACGCGGUGAGAGUUCACC
ensembl:miRNA